UGAGGAAUUUUGCGCAAUGGGGGAAACCCUGACGCAGCAACGCCGCGUGAGUGAAGAAGGCCUUCGGGUCGUAAAGCUCUGUCGGGCGGGAAGAACCUGCAUGAGGGGAACAGGCUCAUGCACUGACGGUACCGCCCAAGGAAGCACCGGCUAACUCCGUGCCAGCAGCCGCGGUAAUACGGAGGGUGCGAGCGUUAUUCGGAAUUAUUGGGCGUAAAGGGCGCGCAGGCGGCCCUGCAGGUCAGAUGUGAAAACCCGGGGCUCAACUUCGGAAGUGCAUUUGAAACCGCAGGGCUUGAGUAUGGGAGAGGAAGGCGGAAUUCCCGGUGUAGAGGUGAAAUUCGUAGAGAUCGGGAGGAACACCAGUGGCGAAGGCGGCCUUCUGGACCAAUACUGACGCUGAGGCGCGAAGGCGCGGGGAGCAAACAGG
rnacentral:rRNA from 1 species